rnacentral:rRNA from 1 species
UAGUGGCAAACGGCUGAGUAAUACACCGGAAUCUACCCUCAACCCAGCCAUAACCCCGCGAAAGCGGGGCUAAUAGCUGAUGUAGUCGCUUUUUGCGACAAAACCUUCGGGGGUUGAGGAUGAGCCGAUGUCCUAUCAGGUAGUUGGUGAGGUAAUGGCUCACCAAGCCAAUGACGGGUAGGGGGCGUGAGAGCGUGGCCCUCCAGACUGGGACUGAGACACGGCCCAGACUCCUACGGGAGGCAGCAGCGAGGAAUCUUGCGCAAUGGGCGAAAGCCUGACGCAGCGACACCGUGUGGAGGAUGAAGCCCCUCGGGGUGUAAACUCCAAUAGCCCGCUAGAAAAUCUUGAUCGGCGGGUGAAAACACCGACUAGCCACGUGCCAGCAGUCGCGGUAAUACGUGGGGUGUAAGCGUUACCCGGAUUUACUGGGCGUAAAGCGCGCGUAGGCGGAUUGGUGGGUUUUGCCUUAAAUUUUCAGGCUCAACCUGAAAAUUGGGCAGAAAACUACUGAUCUAGAAGGUGCCAAGGGCAAAUGGAACUUCGAGAGUAGGCGUAAAAUCCGUUGAUACUCGAAGGAACACCAAUGGCGAAGGCAAUUUGCUAGGGUACCUUGACGCUGAGGCGCGAAAGCGUGGGGAGCGAACGGGAUUAGAUACCCCGGUAGUCCACGCCGUAAACGAUGCAGGCUAGGCAUCGGCAGUUCGACCCUGCUUGUGCCGAAGCUAACGCGACAAGCCUGCCGCCUGAGGACUACGGCCGCAAGGCUAAAACUCAAAGGAAUUGACGGGGGCUCGCACAAGCGGUGGACCAUGUGGUUUAAUUCGAUAGCAAGCGCUGAACCUUACCAGGGCUUGACAUGAUAGUAGUAGGUCUGAUGAAAGUCAGACCGACCGGUUCAGUCCGGAGCUAUCACAGGUGCUGCACGGUUGUCGUCAGCCCGUGCCGUGAGGUGUUCCCUUAACUGGGGCAACGGGCGCAACCCCCAUUCUGUGUUAUAGGUCUCACAGAAGACUGCCUGGGUUAACCGGGAGGAAGGUGGGGAUGACGUCAAAUCAGCGUGGCCCUUAUGCCCUGGGCGACACACGUGGUACAAUGGCCGCUACAAUGGGUAGCAAAGUCGCAAGACGGAGCCAAUCCCAUCAAAAGCGGCCCCAGUUCGGAUUGAGGUCUGCAACCCGACCUCAUGAAGCCGGAAUCGCUAGUAACCGCGUAUCAGCCAUGGCGCGGUGAAUACGUACUCGAGCCUUGUACACACCGCCCGUCAAGUCAUGGGAGUCUGGAACACCUGAA